CCUACGGGAGGCAGCAGUGAGGAAUAUUGGACAAUGGGCGCAAGCCUGAUCCAGCCAUGCCGCGUGCAGGAAGAAGCAUCUAUGGUGUGUAAACUGCUUUUGUACAGGAAGAAACACUCCCUCGUGAGGGAGCUUGACGGUACUGUAAGAAUAAGGACCGGCUAACUCCGUGCCAGCAGCCGCGGUAAUACGGAGGGUCCGAGCGUUAUCCGGAAUCAUUGGGUUUAAAGGGUCCGUAGGCGGUUUAAUAAGUCAGUGGUGAAAUCUGGUCGCUCAACGAUCAAACGGCCAUUGAUACUGUUAGACUUGAAUUAUAAGGAAGUAACUAGAAUAUGUAGUGUAGCGGUGAAAUGCUUAGAUAUUACAUGGAAUACCAAUUGCGAAGGCAGGUUACUACUUAUGGAUUGACGCUGAUGGACGAAAGCGUGGGGAGCGAACAGGAUUAGAUACCCUGGUAGUCCACGCCGUAAACGAUGGAUACUAGCUGUUCGGAGCAAUCUGAGUGGCUAAGCGAAAGUGAUAAGUAUCCCACCUGGGGAGUACGUUCGCAAGAAUGAAACUCAAAUGAAUUGACCGGNUGAGAGNGCGAGACGACGACGAGGGAGAGG
rnacentral:rRNA from 1 species